AAUGGGGGCAACCCUGAUCCAGCCAUGCCGCGUGUGUGAAGAAGGCCUUCGGGUUGUAAAGCACUUUCAGUUGUGAGGAAGGGGAGUAGGUUAAUAACCUGCUUCAUUGACGUUAACAACAGAAGAAGCACCGGCUAACUUCGUGCCAGCAGCCGCGGUAAUACGAGGGGUGCAAGCGUUAAUCGGAAUUACUGGGCGUAAAGCGCGCGUAGGCGGUUAUUUAAGCCAGAUGUGAAAUCCCCGGGCUCAACCUGGGAACUGCAUUUGGAACUGGGUAACUAGAAUGCAGCAGAGGAUAGUGGAAUUUCAGGUGUAGCGGUGAAAUGCGUAGAGAUCUGAAGGAACAUCAGUGGCGAGGGCGACUGUCUGGGCUGACAUUGACGCUGAGGUGCGAAAGCGUGGGUAGCAAACAGGAUU
rnacentral:rRNA from 1 species